rnacentral:tRNA from 1 species
CGGUCUAUAACUCAAUUGGUAGAGUGUCGUUCUUACAAAGCGGAAGUUUGUGGUUCAAGCCCACAUGGACCGA